AGGAAAUGUGCCCGAAAUAUAAGGACUACUUUGAUAGAGUAAUACACAGGGACACCACCCCUCAUUUCCUU
rnacentral:tRNA from 1 species